CGGACGGUGACUACGCUGUGGCGCUCGAUACCCAGGCCCAGGACAUAUUUAUGGCUUCAAACAUCUCCAUGUUUGUGCUGGCUUCCAUCUAAGAGSCUGUGGGGCAGAAAGUUGUUGCCCCUGGAAGCUGCUUUGUUCUCUAACCUUGCCCCGUCUGCUGGCAUCUGCCCUUGUAUCAACGUUCAGAGCUGCCUUCACUGCCUGCCCUCAGCAGAGGAAGAGGAGACCGACAGCUUUUGUACUUCGUACCCAGCGAGCCUGAACUGUACUGGAGAGGAAAGUAUCUCAGAGCCGUUUUUGGUGCCGCCAGCUGCAGUGCUGGGGCCGGGGUGGCUCCGAGCCUUUGCUGUGCUGCAGGACCAUGAGUUUCCAGCUGGCCAGCGCCCACGUUAGUUCAUGGCAMCUCUCCUUUCAGCAUCUCCUCGCACCCGUCUUUGCCAGGCACCCUUGCUGGGUGCCCAUUUAACCAGGGCCCGUGCAGACGUGCAGUGUGGACAGACAGGCUGCUUUGGAGCAAUAGCCUUAGUCCACUGCUAGCCUAGUCUUGUGGGGACAUGUUUAACAUCAGUGUUCCCUCCAGGAGGAUGAGGGUGGUCACUCAUGGCAGUCAAACAAACACCAAGCUGCUGCAGACGCUCUCUGCCCCUAAGACCUGCUCAGGUUUGCCUGCUGCAUUAAAACCCCUGGUGUGAGAAGGUUUGCAAUCAGGACAAGACAGGGAGAAAGCAAGCUCUCCCCAGUAGACCAAAAAGGCCAAGCAUGGAGGGCCCAAGUCACCGUAAAGUCGCAGUAAUAGCACGUGUAACCACACCUAAAGCACACGCAAGGCACAGCUUGCCCAUCCAAAGGAAGACCUAAUCAACGCAUCGCUGCUCUCUCUACCCCACCUCCGAGCUCCAGGCAGGGAGGACAAGCGGCUUCCCAACUCCGGCUGCCCCUGCAGCCUGGCCUUCCCUCCAGCCCACCACCCUGCCAUUGGCUCUGCUUACUGUGGUACUGGUAUGGUGGUGACAUGUCUCCACCAUAACAGCUCUCACCGGUGAGAUAAGCACGGUCAUGGCACAAGGAGCAGCUAUGCUGAUCCCAUGUGCCAGCCACGCUCUUCACUCAGGCGAAUUUCUGCCUGGGGAAUCUCUUGCUCCACCAGAGCAGAGAGCAGGUCCUGCCGCACACACGUCCCAUGUCUGCUCCAAAGCCAAGGACCCUGCCACACUUGGGGCAUGCGCCGCUGAGUAACUCACCGUCGCGCGGCCUCCUCCUUCAGUAGCUUCUUCAGCU
rnacentral:lncRNA from 1 species